ensembl:lncRNA
GUGUGUAGAGUUAGUGAUGUGUGUUAGCGGUUAGUGUUGUGUAGAGUUAGUGAUGUGUGUUAGCGGUGUGUAGAGUUAGUGAUGUGUGUUAGUGGUGUGUAGAGUUAGUGAUGUGUGUUAGCGGUGUGUGGUGUGUAGAGUUAGUGAUGUGUGUUAGUGGUGUGUAGAGUUAGUGAUGUGUGUUAGCGGUGUGUAGAGUUAGUGAUGUGUGUUAGCGGUGUGUAGAGUUAGUGAUGUGUGUUAGUGGUGUGUAGAGUUAGUGAUAUGUGUUAGCGGUUAGCGGUGUGUAGAGUUAGUGAUGUGUGUUAGCGGUGUGUAGAGUUAGUGAUGUGUGUUAGUGGUGUGUAGAGUUAGUGAUGUGUGUUAGUGGUGUGUAGAGUUAGUGAUGUGUGUUAGCGGUGUGUAGAGUUAGUGAUGUGUGUUAGUGGUGUGUAGAGUUAGUGAUGUGUGUUAGCGGUGUGUAGAGUUAGUGAUGUGUGUUAGCGGUGUGUAGAGUUAGUGAUGUGUGUUAGCGGUGUGUAGAGUUAGUGAUGUGUGUUAGCGGUGUGUGGGAUUAGCAAGUAACAACAGCACUGCAGAGUGCUG